CAUCGCCUCUUGACUAAAUAUAAGAGGUCCAGCCUGCCCAGUGACAUAGUUUAACGGCCGCGGUACCCUAACCGUGCGAAGGUAGCAUAAUCACUUGUUCUUUAAAUAGGGACUCGUAUCAACGGCAUCACGAGGGCUGUACUGUCUCCUUUCUCCAAUCAGUGAAACUGAUCUCCCCGUGAAGAAGCGGGGAUAAACCUAUAAGACGAGAAGACCCCAUGGAGCUUUAAACCCACCACACACCUUUACACACUCAAAUCAACAUAGCCAAAAAGGCUUGUGUGUUGGUUUUAGGUUGGGGGGACCGCGGAGUAAAAUCAAACCUCCACGACAGACGGGCUAACACCCUUAUCCACGAACCACAAUUCUAAGAGCCAAUAAACUGUUGUCUAAUGACCCAAUUAUUUGAUCAACGAACCAAGUUACCCUGGGGAUAACAGCGCAAUCUACUUCAAGAGUCCAUAUCGACAAGUAGGUUUACGACCUCGAUGUUGGAUCAGGGUAUCCUAGUGGUGCAGCCGCUACUAAAGG
rnacentral:rRNA from 1 species